rnacentral:misc_RNA from 1 species
AAAAAAUUUGGAAAGUUGUUCGGAGCAGUUGCUAGCUCUUUGUUCUCUCUCUCAUCUAAUUUACCAUCAAAUGCAUUUAUGUGUUAAUGCCUGAAACAAAUUGUUAUAAGUGGCUUUUUGGCAUGUUUUGUUUGUCUUAUUUGAUGUUCUCAUGGAAAAAAUUUGGAAAGUUGUUCGAAGCAGUUAAUAGCUGUUAGUUGUUCUUUGGCUAAAUGAGGAGGAUAGGUGAAAAUAAUCUUCCUAAAAUUUGAGUACUUACUGUUAAUUAUCAGUGACCUAGGUUUAAAAGGAAAGCUGAUUCCAU